rnacentral:rRNA from 1 species
GACGUAGGGUGCAAGCGUUGUCCGGAUUUAUUGGGCGUAAAGAGCUCGUAGGCGGUUUGUCGCGUCGGCCGUGAAAUCUCCACGCUUAACGUGGAGCGUGCGGUCGAUACGGGCAGACUUGAGUUCGGGUAGGGGAGACUGGAAUUCCGUGGUGUAGCGGUGAAAUGCGCAGAUAAUCAGGAGGAACACCGGUGGCGAAGGCGGGUCUCUGGGCCGAUACUGACGCUGAGGAGCGAAAGCGUGGGGAGCGAACAGG